rnacentral:snRNA from 1 species
AUCGCGUCUCAGGCUUUUGGCUAAGAUCAAGUGUGGUAUCUGUCCUUAUCAGUUUAAUGUCUGGGGCUUCCCUCAUAGCUCAGUUGUAAAGAAUCCGCCUGCAGUGCAGGAGACCCCGGUUCGAUUCCUGAGUCA